UGACAGAUGCAAGGAAUCUCACCAAUC
rnacentral:piRNA from 1 species